UCUAUACGGUGAAACUGCGAAUGGCUCAUUAAAUCAGUUAUCGUUUAUUUGAUAGUACCUUACUACUUGGAUAACCGUGGUAAUUCUAGAGCUAAUACAUGCUAAAAACCUCGACUUCGGAAGGGGUGUAUUUAUUAGAUAAAAAACCAAUGCCCUUCGGGGCUCCUUGGUGAUUCAUAAUAACUUAACGAAUCGCAUGGCCUUGUGCCGGCGAUGGUUCAUUCAAAUUUCUGCCCUAUCAACUUUCGAUGGUAAGGUAUUGGCUUACCAUGGUUUCAACGGGUAACGGGGAAUUAGGGUUCUAUUCCGGAGAGGGAGCCUGAGAAACGGCUACCACAUCCAAGGAAGGCAGCAGGCGCGCAAAUUACCCAAUCCCGACACGGGGAGGUAGUGACAAUAAAUACUGAUACAGGGCUCUUUUGGGUCUUGUAAUUGGAAUGAGUACAAUUUAAAUCCCUUAACGAGGAACAAUUGGAGGGCAAGUCUGGUGCCAGCAGCCGCGGUAAUUCCAGCUCCAAUAGCGUAUAUUAAAGUUGUUGCAGUUAAAAAGCUCGUAGUUGAACCUUGGGCCUGGCUGGCCGGUCCGCCUCACCGCGUGCACUGGUCCGGCCGGGCCUUUCCUUCUGGGGAGCCGCAUGCCCUUCACUGGGUGUGUCGGGGAACCAGGACUUUUACUUUGAAAAAAUUAGAGUGUUCAAAGCAGGCCUAUGCUCGAAUACAUUAGCAUGGAAUAAUAGAAUAGGACGUGUGGUUCUAUUUUGUUGGUUUCUAGGACCGCCGUAAUGAUUAAUAGGGAUAGUCGGGGGCAUCAGUAUUCAAUUGUCAGAGGUGAAAUUCUUGGAUUUAUUGAAGACUAACUACUGCGAAAGCAUUUGCCAAGGAUGUUUUCAUUAAUCAGUGAACGAAAGUUAGGGGAUCGAAGACGAUCAGAUACCGUCGUAGUCUUAACCAUAAACUAUGCCGACUAGGGAU
rnacentral:rRNA from 1 species